ACUCCUACGGGAGGCAGCAGUGGGGAAUCUUGGACAAUGGGGGAAACCCUGAUCCAGCCAUGCCGCGUGAGUGAUGAAGGCCCUAGGGUCGUAAAGCUCUUUCGCCUGUGAAGAUAAUGACUGUAGCGGGUUAAAAGAAAACCCCGGGCCUUAACUCCGUGCCAGCAGCCGCGGUAAUACGGAGGGGGUUAGCGUUGUUCGGAAUUACUGGGCGUAAAGCGCGCGUAGGCGGACUGGAAAGUUGGGGGUGAAAUCCCAGGGCUCAACCCUGGAACUGCCUCCAAAACUAUCAGUCUAGAGUUC
rnacentral:rRNA from 1 species